rnacentral:lncRNA from 1 species
GUGUGUAUAGAUCAGUAGGACCGCAGUAUCCAUUAGAAAUUGAUCAUGUAUAUAUUUUUAUUUCUCCACUUGAGGAGUGUGGGAGAUUCAAAAAAAUAGUGGAAGUCUUGUUUAAUUUUAAAAUUUUCUAAAAUAAAUAUUUAAUAAGUAUAAAUACCUAAUUAGAAACUAUUCUUUCUAUAGAUAAUCAUGUCAAGUUUAAAUUCUUGAGCCCAUAUUCUUAAC